rnacentral:tRNA from 1 species
AAUAAGGUGCCUGAUUAAAGGAUUAUUUUGAUAGAAUAAAUUAAGUUAAUAUAUUUUACUCUUAUUA